CCUAUUUUAAUGAUGAUUUCAUAGUUCAUCUGAAUAACCUUGAUGAAUAUGCAGAAAUUAGUCUUUCGCUCCUAUCUGAUGAAUUAU